rnacentral:rRNA from 1 species
GACGAACGCUGGCGGCGUGCCUAACACAUGCAAGUCGAACGGAGAUGUUGAUUUCGGUUGACGUCUUAGUGGCGAACGGGUGAGUAACGCGUGAACAAUCUGACCUUAAGAGGGGGAUAACAACGAGAAAUCGUUGCUAAUACCGCAUAAGACCACAAUGCCGCAUGGCGAAGGGGUCAAAGGAGCAAUCCGCUUAAGGAGGGGUUCGCGUCCCAUUAGGUAGUAGGUGAGGUAACGGCCCACCUAGCCGACGAUGGGUAACCGAGCUGAGAGGCUGAUCGGCCACACUGGAACUGAGACACGGUCCAGACUCCUACGGGAGGCAGCAGUGGGGAAUAUUGGGCAAUGGGCGCAAGCCUGACCCAGCAACGCCGCGUGAGGGAAGAAGGUUUUCGGAUUGUAAACCUCUGUCGCAGAUAACGAAACAAAUGACGGUAAUCUGUGAGGAAGCCCCGGCUAACUACGUGCCAGCAGCCGCGGUAAU